AAAAUUAUGGCAUUACAAAACAUGUAUAUAACAAAACUUUUUACAAAAUUGUUUCCCGUUAGCAAUGAUGGUUUAUCGUUGCGUUUAGAUAUAAAUUAAACGACUUUAUAUAAUAUCUUGCCUUCCCAAUUUUCCGUCUAUUUUGUUCUCCUCGUGACCGUGAUUUUAUUUACGGUUACACAAAAACCUGCACUCUUUUGAAUUAUUCGAAAUUUCGUUUGGAUACUUUCGAGAUUAAUUUUUUAUUGUAUUUUUACGACUUUGACAUACAAAUUUAGAAGAGAAACCCGUAUGAUUGAACUUUUUUUUUAUUAUUUUCAUGGAAUCUAAAGAGUCCCGGGUUAGAUCAUAGAAUUUCCAAACGGUCUUUCAGGAAAAAUA